CCUACGGGAGGCAGCAGUGGGGAAUAUUGGGCAAUGGGCGCAAGCCUGACCCAGCAACGCCGCGUGAAGGAAGAAGGCUCUCGGGUUGUAAACUUCUUUUAUCAGGGACGAAGGAAGUGACGGUACCUGAUGAAUAAGCCACGGCUAACUACGUGCCAGCAGCCGGGGUAAUACGUAGGUGGAAAGCGUUAUACGGAUUUACUGGGGGUAAAGGGCGUGUAGGCGGGGAAGUAAGUCAGAUGUGAAAACCAUGGGCUUAACCUGUGGACUGCAUUUGAUAAUGUUUUGCUUGAGUACUUGAGGGAGCGGUGGAAUUCCACGUGUAGCGGUGAAAUGCGUAGAGAUGUGGAGGAACACCGAAGGCGAAGGCCGUCCCUUGG
rnacentral:rRNA from 1 species